UACGUGCCAGCAGCCGCGGUAAGACGUAGGACGCGAGCGUUAUCCGGAUUUACUGGGCGUAAAGCGUGUGUAGGCGGCGUGACAAGUUGGGCGUGAAAGCCCCGUGCUCAACGCGGGGAGGCCGCACAAUACUGUCAGGCUAGAGGGCAUCAGAGGGGUGUGGAAUUCCCGGAGUAGCGGUAAAAUGCGCAGAUAUCGGGAGGAACACCGGUGGCGAAAGCGGCACCCUGGGGUGCACCUGACGCUGAGAGACGACAGCUAGGGGAGCGAACAGGAUUAGAGACCCUGGUAGUCCUAGCCGUAAACGAUGGAUGCUAGGUGUGGGAGUGAAGAACUUCUGUGCCGCAGCGAACGCGAUAAGCAUCCCGCCUGGGGAGUACGGCCGCAAGGUUAAAACUCAAACGAAUUGACGGGGACCCGCACAAGCAGCGGAGCGUGUGGUUUAAUUCGAUGCUACACGAAGAACCUUACCUGGGAUUGACAUAUGGGUGGUAGUGAGCCGAAAGGCAAGCGACCCUUCGGGGAGCCUAUACAGGUGCUGCAUGGCUGUCGUCAGCUCGUGCCGUGAGGUGUCGGGUUAAGUCCCGUAACGAGCGCAACCCCUGUCCUUAGUUACAAGUGUCUAAGGGGACUGCCGGCGGGAAGCCGGAGGAAGGUGGGGAUGACGUCAAGUCAGCAUGGCCCUUAUAUCCAGGGCGACACACACGCUACAAUGGUCGGUACAGAGGGCAGCGAAACCGCGAGGUGGAGCGAAACCCAGAAAGCCGGUCGUAGUUCGAAUUGCAGGCUGCAACUCGCCUGCAUGAAGUUG
rnacentral:rRNA from 1 species